GAAUUAGUACAUAUUUUUUUUAUUUUAUUUUUGGACUAUUUUUUCAGUGUAUAUUUGUCGGUGGAUGUCCUUUGGUUACUUCCUGUAAAUUUUCCCAUGCCGCCAAUCUGAUGUUUUGAUUAAUUUAUACCGUUUUGCAGCUUACACUUUCAAUAAUCAAGUACACAGAUCAGUCCUUGAAAGCACCAGAAAAAAUUCUGACAGAAUCAUUGACAAAGAGUACAACAGACAAUUUAAAUUCAAGUAGUUGUUCAGUUCAAUGUGAUACUCAGUCUUGUGCAAAAAACUAUUCAACAUUUUCCAAAGAUACUGCAGGGCCAUCAGGUCAACAGAAGCAGAAAGUUACACAGCCUCCGCCUUUGAAAAAAAGGUCAAGCCGAACCAAAUUCCUGGGAAGAGAAAUCCUUCAUAAAUGGAUUGUUGAUGAUAAGAAGAAGAAAGAAAAGUGGUACCGUGGUACAGUUUUAGAUGUAUUAUCAGGUAAAGAUGGCGAUCCAACAGCUGUAUAUGAGGUGUUGUAUAAUGGUGAAGAAACUGCCCACGAAGUUGAUGGUUUGACUGCUGAUUUGCAGGAAGGUUCAUUAAAGUUUUUAGAUAUAUAGAGUUGGCCACAUAUUUGUGUCUCAACAUUUGUCAUUUUUUAUAACAUUAUGUUAUUUGAUAUUUAACUUCAAAGUAUGACAGAUAUCAAAAAAUUGUUUGAUGUUGAAGAAAUUGUGAAAGUUCAAUAUUACAUCAAGUUGACUGUUGCCUACUGAUGAGGAGAUUGUUAUUUAGGAUCAAAGGGAACAGGCUGUGUAUUCAUUGAAUUCAAAUUCAUGAAAUGUUGUGCUUUCAAGAAGAUUAAUGUAGUGAUAUUAAUAUCAAAGUGCUAAAAAGUCAUUGUGUAAGUGUUAUAACCAGUUAAGAAGUGUUAUACAUACAUCAUUGUUUUAAAAAUUAAAGAGGAUUGAAAUGUGUGCAAGACAUACUUCAGAGCAGAAUUGAGUUAUAUCCUGUGAAAAGAAGAAAGCACCUUUGACUGAUAGCAGGCAGUUUCUUUCUGUCCAGAUCAAUUUGCUACAUUUGAGAAUUUCAGUACAGCAGUUAUAGUUACAAGACAGGUACCAAAAUAUAUUGAUUUAUAUUUAUGAUUAAUAUGUACAAGGAAAUGUUAAAUGCACAUGUAUAUAUUUUUCACUCUUUCUUGAUUAAAGUAUCAGUUUGCAUAGGAUAACAAUUUCUUUAACAUUUGUAUGAAAAUGUUUAAAAAAAUAUUCUUAUUAAAGAUUAAUUAAACAUGUAAACAAUAUCAAUCGGUCUAAUAUUCCUUAUUUUCUUUAUUUAACUGUAUGAAAGUUACAUAUAUAUUUUUUAUUUUAAAGUUCUUAAGAUUUUAUAGUCAUUAGUGUUCAAGACAAUAAGAUUAAUUGAAAUUGCCAGUUAUUGAAAUUAAAAAAGGGAGGUAACUUUGAUCAAACUUAAUUAUGGCAUAGCUUGUACACCAUACUUUGAAUGAGAACUACUUUGUAAACAAAUGUUUUUAUAAAAAAUGUCAUUUAAUUGAUGGAAAAAAAUAUCAUUUUAUCAUCUUUUCCAAUGGAUUUAUUUUGAAAUUUUUUCAAGACUUCAUAAAACAAGCAGUGGACUUUAUCUUUUGUAAAAAAUGAAUAAGGAAUUAUUUGCAAAAAGAAACUUUGAUAUCACAACAAACAAAUGUUUUGAAGGUUAGACUUUUUAUGUUUUCAUAGUGUUUUCAUUGAUUUAUUUCUUCAAUUUUACUACCAAUUGUAUUGUUAUUAUUGUUUUUUGUAGUGAAUAAUGUUUAACUGUAGAAAUUAAGGCAUUGUUGUAUAAAAACUUAAUAUCAUGUACCCCACCCACUUUCAGUUAAAUUAGUAAAUUGAUAAACC